GUGCUUGCUUCAGCAGCACAUACACUAAAACUGGAAUGAUACAGAGACGAUUGGUAUGGUGCCUGUGCAAGGAUGACAUGCUAAUUUGUGAAAUGUUCCCUAUUAAA
ensembl:snRNA U6 U6 spliceosomal RNA